CCUACGGGAGGCUGCAGUGGGGAAUAUUGGGCAAUGGACGCAAGUCUGACCCAGCCACGCCGCGUGAAGGAAGAAGGCUUUCGGGUUGUAAACCUCUUUUAAGGGGGAAGAGCAGAAGACGGUACCUCUUGAAUAAGCCACGGCUAACUACGUGCCAGCAGCCGCGGUAAUACGUAGGUGGCAAGCGUUGUCCGGCUUUACUGGGUGUAAAGGGCGUGCAGGCGGAGUGACAAGUCAGAUGUGAAAUCCACGGGCUCAACCCGGGAACUGCAUUUGAAACUGUUUCGCUUGAGUGUCGGAGAGGUAAUCAGAAUUCCUGGUGUAGCGGUGAAAUGCGUAGAGAUAAGGAAGAACACCAGUGGCGAAGGCGGAUUACUGGACGAUGACUGACGGUGAGGCGCGAAAGCGUGGGGAGCAAACAGGAUUAGAUACCCCUGUAGUC
rnacentral:rRNA from 1 species